rnacentral:rRNA from 1 species
AACGAACGCUGGCGGCAGGCUUAACACAUGCAAGUCGAACGCCCCGCAAGGGGAGUGGCAGACGGGUGAGUAACGCGUGGGAACGUGCCCUUCGCUUCGGAAUAGCCCCCGGGAAACUGGGAGUAAUACCGAAUACGCCGUAUUGGGAAAGAUUUAUCGGCGAAGGAUCGGCCCGCGUUAGAUUAGCUAGUUGGCGGUGUAAUGGACCACCAAGGCUACGAUCUAUAGCUGGUCUGAGAGGAUGAUCAGCCACACUGGGACUGAGACACGGCCCAGACUCCUACGGAGGCAGCAGUGGGGAAUCUUGGACAAUGGGCGCAAGCCUGAUCCAGCCAUGCCGCGUGAGUGAAGAAGGCCUUAGGGUUGUAAAACUCUUUCGCCGGAGAAGAUAAAUGACGGUAUCCGGAGAAGAAGCCCCGGCUAACCUCGUGCCAGCAGCCGCGGUAAU